CUUGGCUGUGGCUCUUAGCAGGGAAGGGCUCCCUGAUGUCUCUCGGUGCCACUGGAGGAAGUUCCCGCUGAGGGGGCAUCUGGCUGGUGGAGAGCACUGUCUGUCUGUCCUGCCAGUGGACUCUUGCCAGCGUGGGGCCCAGAGCCAGACAGCCUGGAUUCGAGUCUUCCUCCUUCACGUACAGCUUGACUUCGGCUCCUCAGAUUUCUCUGGCAAAAUCAAGUAAAUUUUCUGACCUUAGAGUGUUUCAAAGGUGAAAUGGAGUGUUGGGUUGUGGCCGACACCUGUAAGGUAACUCGGGAGGACAGCAAGUUGGAGGCCAGCC
rnacentral:lncRNA from 1 species